GCAUUUUUGAUUUAUUGAGUUUUAACAUCACAGUAAAAGUUUCAUAAUUAUGGACAAAUUGGUGGUACAUGACUAGAGGGGCUUUUUAGUCUAUAUGUACUAUUAUGGAGAUGUCCCUCCAUGGAUUGAGAACUCUGUAGUCAAUCAGUAACCAUUUGGAAGUGUUAUGGCAGCUAGUUUGCUAGUGAAAACUUUAUGACCUGUAGAAUUUUAAGUCAGGUGGAGCUCCCUGUGCUCUCUGCUCCUGAUUACAGCAGGGUGUUCUAAACCCACAACCCCUUUACUCCAAGGGCUCAUUUCAUUUGAAAGCUACUCAAAAACAGUUAAGUGGAGUGGUUACCUAGCAACCUUUAUCCCUGCAGACAACAAUGUAAAGAUAACUGUAGACACAGUUGACCCCAUUUCUUUAUUUCUAUCUUUGUCCUUGAGAUAAUUAAGUCAUGGUUAAGCAGCAUAUCAAUGAUCCUAAGUCUAAUGAUGCUGCUUUUGUAAACAUUAAUAACUGGCUGAUAUAGUCAACCACAACAAAGGGAUUUUAGAAAGGCAGCCAUCAUCAUUUCAUCUGCCAUAAUAAGUAAUAAGCAAUUAAAGGGCUUAUUUUUAUUUUGGAGGGCUUUUAAAAAUGCAGACUUGAAACUAUUUCCCCCUUCAUUCUCAGUAGCAGUGAUUGCUGCAGGCUUCUCUUCAAUAUCAGAAACAAGUUAUGAGGGUGAAACAUGUUAGAGACUAAUCUAGGGGAAAGAACCAGUUCCUUCCAGGACUGACUCAGGAAAUGGUAAUCACCCUCCAAUGAAAUUUUUUAAAAGGCAUUUGCUAUAGUGGCUGAUCUAGUACUAAUACCUGUGCUCAGCUUAAUAUCAGAAUCACAGAAUUCACAGAAUAAUUAGAUUUAUAUGGCAGGGUCUCACUUGUCUCUUCAGUAGAUAAGGAGCCUUUAUCAAUAUACCUCAACACAGGCACCACUCAAAAGCAAGCCUAUACAUUAAAUCAACUCUCCCCAUUUCCUUGUUUUCUAAAGUCAUAGGCACAACAGAACAAUACUAUUGGUAAACUGCAUUUGGGUUGAUAUUGAAAGCAAAAACACUAAGGAAAAAUUAAUAGAGAAAAUGUUAACAUAAAUCCAUCAAUUCACAUUAGAAAAUCCAGACUAAUUUUAUUUUAAGAAUAACUAUAUAGAAACAUGAAUUAAUAGAGAAGAAAAACAAAAACACCUUAUACUAGUGGGGUUACAGUUUAUUUUAAAUUAAAUAAAUGGAGGGAAAUUUGUGAUAUUGAUCCAGUUAUGAAUGGCUAUGUUUUAGGCAGCUCAGUACCCUCUAGUUAUUGAUCUAGCCAAAAUUACAUUUGGCUAAGCAUGUUUUUUCCCCAUUUUUAGAGAGGUACUAAGUAUGAAUUUGAGAUUUUCUGUGUCCUUAAAGAACUCAAAGGACCUUGGGUCCAAUAUUUUGAAAUCUCAUUAGCAAGGAAAUGUGUUGUUUUUAAUUAUAGCAACCACAAUAAAUAAUUUUUACAUGAGAUCUACAUGGAAUUUGCAUUUACUUAUAUGAAUCUAAGAGAAAAUGUCAUCACAAAAUAGUUUCUGUCAACUAAAGACAUGUAUUUUCCCAGAUAUUUUCUCCCCUUUAAAAAGAUGAACAUAUGUCAAUUAAUUUUCUCAGAUACAACCACUAUGAACCUGAGAAUAGUAAGCUAGUCUUCUAACACCUGGUCUUUAAUCUUUGGACCACAUUUUAACUAACUGUAUAUCAGGUACUUUAAAAGAAUUAUUUCCCAUGAAAAAUUUAUGCACAACUAUAUGACAGUCAGUAUUCUUUUUCUAAAACAACAACAAAAAAAACUGUUUAGGUUUACUUUCAAAAGAAGUUUAAAAUAACAAUGCUAACCAUUCCUUUUUAGUUGUUGGAUAAAACUUGCAGACAUGUGGAAGGCACACAUCUUAUCCAAAGACCAGAAACCCACAAACUUUAUUCAAUCAAACUGUAUCCAUCAUAUUAGCUCAUUCAAAGAAGAUAGUCCACCUGCUGAAAAUAGUCUAAUUACUAGACAAUCAUGAUUAGUUUUACUUCUUGAAAUAAAAAUAAAUGAAAGAAAGAAAUCCACCACAGGACUUUUACACUUUCAAGUUAUGAAUACAUAAUAUUUUAGUCUGUGGGGAUGAAAGGGCAUGGGGAAGAGGCACACCUCACACAAUCUGAAAUUCACAGCAGCAUAGACUCAAAGUGCAAAGGGCAUAUAAAAUAAAUGCCUUAUAGGAUUCCUUCCAGAUAGUCAUUAGUUUUUUUUUUUCUAUAUUAAAUUUUUAACAAGCAUUGAAAGUAUAUGCAAGAUUAAGUCACAUGCAACAAAUGAAGAUGAACACACUAACUCAAUGUUGAAACUUUAAUUAUAAAAUCCCCAACUGGAACUAGCAACAAAUGCAGCAUGUCAAUACAAAUGGACAAUGGCUAAAAAAAAUACACCAAUUUAAAUAAGUCUGAGUGAAUACUGUACAAGGGUAUCCAUGUCUGUUAACCUUUUGGAAAUAUAAAAUUAAGUGUAUCUGUAGUAAUUAAAAUUCACCAUGUGUCAUGUUAU
ensembl:lncRNA